GAUGAACGCUGGCGGCGUGCCUAAUACAUGCAAGUCGAGCGAACAGACGAGGAGCUUGCUCCUCUGACGUUAGCGGCGGACGGGUGAGUAACACGUGGAUAACCUACCUAUAAGACUGGGAUAACUUCGGGAAACCGGAGCUAAUACCGGAUAAUAUAUUGAACCGCAUGGUUCAAUAGUGAAAGACGGUUUUGCUGUCACUUAUAGAUGGAUCCGCGCCGCAUUAGCUAGUUGGUAAGGUAACGGCUUACCAAGGCAACGAUGCGUAGCCGACCUGAGAGGGUGAUCAGCCACACUGGAACUGAGACACGGUCCAGACUCCUACGGGAGGCAGCAGUAGGGAAUCUUCCGCAAUGGGCGAAAGCCUGACGGAGCAACGCCGCGUGAGUGAUGAAGGUCUUCGGAUCGUAAAGCUCUGUUAUUAGGGAAGAACAAAUGUAUAAGUAACUAUGCACGUCUUGACGGUACCUACUCAGAAAGCCACGGCUAACUACGUG
rnacentral:rRNA from 1 species